rnacentral:tRNA from 1 species
CGUAGCUCAGUUGGUAGAGCAACGGACUUUUAAUCCGUGGGUCGCAGGUUCGAGACCUGCCGGG